rnacentral:rRNA from 1 species
AUGGCGGGAAGUCACCGCUGGACGAAGGAUCCGCCGCUAACUAGGACACCAAAGGCUUGCCGCAGGCCACCCUCCAUCCCACAACCCAAAAUGACGACGCCUUCAAGAAGGAGGUGCAGGAGCACCGUCGCCGCCCAACCAAGGUUGUGGAUUUUCACCCAGGAGGAGGGGAGGGAGAUGGACCUCAACGUCGCCUUCGGGAAGGGGAGCGGCGCCCGGAGCGCCGCCAACAAUGUGGCCGCCGUCGCCGUCCAAGAGGUUACCCCUAUCCAGGGCUCCCUACCCCACCACCACGACGUCAUCCACCGGAUCCGGCAAGACAUGGCGUAG